GACAAAGAACUGCAUGUAGAUCUAAUCCUCCAGUCUCUCUUGAUUCAUAUGGACAGUUCAUCAUAACUACCAUAUGAAUAAGAUCAUUGCUACUUUGUCAGAGUUAUUGAAUAUGCUGGUGACUGCAGAGGAUACCUUGAAGAGUUCAAGAGGCAUAGUUCUAGCUGUGAAACAGGCUUCCUCCAAAAGAAAGUCUUCUUUUAAGAAGAAAAAGCCCGCGA
rnacentral:lncRNA from 1 species